rnacentral:misc_RNA from 1 species
GGUGUGCCUAAGAAAAGCCAUGGGAUCGGAUAUUUGAGGCCAUGGGUCAGCUUAGAAGAGACCGUGGAUGGCCUUAGGUGUUUUAUGCUUGGUGUUAUUCCAUCAACUUCCUACAAGAUGUGAUGGAUUUGGACUUAGAGAAUCGUGUUAUUAUAACCGCCACUUGAAGGACUAAAGCAGUAGGAAUUGUUACAUGAGGAGCACGGAUCGUAGGAGCACUGUUCCUCCGAUACUAUGAUUAACCCCCCAAGCAUGGAGUCACUUGAGGAACAUGAGUCCCCUGGGAAGCUAUUGGUAGCAUUAUAACUAGAGUUACAGGUACUACCAUAUGAGAGACUGGUAAAGCUAUCUGAGGAACCUAUACUGUAG